rnacentral:rRNA from 1 species
AAGACCUUGCGCUUUUGGAGCGGCCGAUGCCUGAUUAGCUAGUUGGUAGGGUAAAGGCCUACCAAGGCGUCGAUCAGUAGUUGGUCUGAGAGGACGACCAGCCACACUGGGACUGAGACACGGCCCAGACUCCUACGGGAGGCAGCAGUGGGGAAUUUUGGACAAUGGGCGCAAGCCUGAUCCAGCAAUGCCGCGUGAGUGAAGAAGGCCUUCGGGUUGUAAAGCUCCUUCAGUCGAGAAGAAAAGAUUACGACUAAUAAUCGUAAUUCAUGACGGUACCGACAGAAGAAGCACCGGCUAACUACGUGCCAGCAGCCGCGGUAAUACGUAGGGUGCGAGCGUUAAUCGGAAUUACUGGGCGUAAAGGGUGCGCAGGCGGCCUUGUAAGUCAGAUGUGAAAUCCCCGGGCUUAACCUGGGAACU